rnacentral:rRNA from 1 species
CCCUUAGAUGUUCUGGGCCGCACGCGCGCUACACCGAUGCAUUCAACGAGUUUCUUCCUGGUCCGAGAGGAAUGGGUAACCUUUUGAAAGUGCAUCGUGAUAGGGAUAGACUAUUGCAAUUAUUGGUCUUCAACGAGGAAUUCCUAGUAGACGUAGUUCAUCAGACUGCAUCGAUUACGUCCCUGCCCUUUGUACACACCGCCCGUCGCUCCUACCGAUUGAGUGGUCCGGUGAGGCUUUGGGAUCUGAGCGGAAAGAGCGUUUCGCUGUUUCUGCUCGGAAAACUCAGUCGAACCUUAUCAUUUAGAGGAAGGAGAAGUCGUAACA